UCUCGGCUCUCGCAUCGAUGAAGAACGUAGCGAAAUGCGAUACUUGGUGUGAAUUGCAGAAUCCCGUGAACCAUCGAGUCUUUGAACGCAAGUUGCGCCCGAAGCCGUUAGGCCGAGGGCACGUCUGCCUGGGCGUCACGCAUCGCGUCGCCCCUCGCAC
rnacentral:rRNA from 1 species